GGAAUAUUGGACAAUGGGCGAAAGCCUGAUCCAGCAAUGCCGCGUGAGUGAUGAAGGCCCUAGGGUUGUAAAGCUCUUUUGCCCGGGAUGAUAAUGACAGUACCUGGAGAAUAAGCUCCGGCUAACUCCGUGCCAGCAGCCGCGGUAAUACGGAGGGAGCUAGCGUUGUUCGGAAUUACUGGGCGUAAAGCGCGCGUAGGCGGCUUUGUAAGUUAGAGGUGGAAGCCCGGGGCUCAACCCCGGAACUGCCUUUAAGACUGCAUCGCUUGAAUCCGGGAGAGGUGAGUGGAAUUCCGAGUGUAGAGGUGAAAUUCGUAGAUAUUCGGAGGAACACCAGUGGCGAAGGCGGCUCACUGGCUCGAUACUGACGCUGAGGUGCGAAAGCGUGGGGAGCAAAC
rnacentral:rRNA from 1 species